GAUGAACGCUGGCGGCGUGCAUAACACAUUCAAGUCGAACGGUGACGGGGCUUCGGCCCCUGAUCAGUGGCGGACGGGUGAGUAACGCGUGAGCAAUCUGCCUCUGUGUGCGGGAUAACAGCCGGAAACAGCUGCUAAUACCGCAUAACGUAUACGGAUCGCAUGUUCUGUAUACCAAAGGUUUACUGCACAGAGAUGGGCUUGCGUCUGAUUAGAGAGUUGGUGAGGUAACGGCUCACCAAGUCGACGAUCAGUAGCCGGACUUAGAGGUUGAACGGCCACAUUGGAACUGGGAAACGGUCCAGACUCCUACGGGAGGCAGCAGUGGGGAAUAGUGGGCAAUGGGCGAAAGCCUGACCCAGCGACGCCGCGUGAGGGAAGAAGGUCUUCGGAUUGUAAACCUUUGUCAACAGGGACGAACAGAUGACGGUACCUGUGGAGGAAGCCACGGCUAACUACGUGCCAGCAGCCGCGGUAAAAC
rnacentral:rRNA from 1 species